rnacentral:precursor_RNA from 1 species
UCAGUGCACUACAGAACUUUGUCUCUAGAGGCUGUGGUCGCCGCUGCCG